UACAGAGGUCCUCAAGCGUUGUUCGGAUUCAUUGGGCGUAAAGGGUGCGUAGGCGGCGCGGUAAGUCGGGUGUGAAAUCUCGGAGCUUAACUCCGAAACUGCAUUCGAUACUGCCGUGCUUGAGGACUGGAGAGGAGACUGGAAUUUACGGUGUAGCGGUGAAAUGCGUAGAUAUCGUAAGGAAGACCAGUGGCGAAGGCGGGUCUCUGGACAGUUCCUGACGCUGAGGCACGAAGGUCAGGGGAGCAAACGGG
rnacentral:rRNA from 1 species